ensembl:antisense Nudt12os nudix (nucleoside diphosphate linked moiety X)-type motif 12, opposite strand
ACUAGCUUCAGUAAAGCUGCUGUGUAAAUGGCAUUUAAAAUCACUGUUAUCACCACUGACAGAGAUGACGUCAGCUCUUUGCCACCUGAGUAAAUAAAUAUUUAUAAGGUGCUGUAAGUCUGAAGAAUGUCACACUGCUCCAAUAGACUUCAUUUUUCAGGCAAGAGUGAAAUAGGCAACCACAAGAACCCUGUCACCACAUUUGAUGAGUUGUCCAUUCUCUUCUCUAAUACAGGCUUUAGUUCAUUAUCAUCAUGGCAGCACACAUGGUGCUGGAGCAGUAGCUGAGAGUUAUAUCCUCAUCCACGGGACCAGAGAGACACUAGUCCUGGAAUGGAAUUUGGAAGCCUCAAAGUCUACCCCAACAUGGCCACACCUCCUAAUCCUUCUAAUCCUAUCAAAGACUUCCACUACCUGGAUAUUUUUGACCCUAGAUACUUUUUUCCUUUAAAUUUGAUGGAGCUGUGAUCAUGCCUCUGACCUCUAGCCUUGAAAGAAGACGAGUUAUGCCUCUCAGGAGUGAUGCCUCAGGCACUUUGCAAGUCGGCUGGCAGGAUUAUUUCCCAGGCUGUGAAGUGAUGACCUUCUACCGAGAGUGAAUGUCUGCAGCGCACGUAAAUUCUACCAGCCAUGAUUGAGAGCCUUAGCUUUGUUACCUGCUCUAUGAAUCAGAGUCCAUUCUUUCUCUACAGCGGAUUGGUAAUUUAGUGCUGUAUUUAAAGCCACAUGUUAACACAUGUGCACACGUGGGUUAAUUUACUGUUGCCCGUGAUUACAUUCUGCUUUCGUGCCUGACAUAAGGUCACUUCAGAGGUAAAUCUAGAAUUUUGGAAUAAAUGGUUGGAAUGAAG